AGCGUCUCAGUUCAUGGAUAAGAAGUUUCUCAUCAUCCAUCCAACAGCUGACGCGAAAUUCAUCUCCCAGCUCAUCAAUGAAAAGGCCAACUACACCUUACAGAUUCUGGACCAGUAAUCCAACUCACCGGCUGGCCUAUAGAGUCCCCUCUCUCUCCUUUUGGUCCAGUCAGACCUGGACGACCCUGAACAGACACACAUCAUCCAGAAGCAUCUCAGUUAAAAACAACAACAACAAGGCUUCUUAGACUGGAUUUAACUUCGAUGAUGUCAACACACUUAGUAUCCUCUGGUCGAAGGACUAAGAACUAACAUCGGGAAGCAUCAGCGUGUCUGGGAAGUUCUUACCGGUCUUCCAGGAAAACCAAAUUCUCCUUUGGGUCCUGGUGGUCCGAUAGGUCCCUGUUAGGAAAAAAGAUAAAGCCCGGGAACCCUGGUGGUCCUGCAGCACCUGGCUCCCCCUGCAGAGACACAGAGAG